GAUUAACGCUAGCGGCAGGCAUAAUACAUGCAAGUUGAACGGCAGCACAGGUAGCAAUACUGGGUGGCGAGUGGCGCACGGGUGCGUAACACGUAUGCAACCUACCCUAUACAGGCGAAUAACCUUUAGAAAUGAGGGCUAAUACGCCGUAGUAUUACAGUUGGGCAUCUAUUUGUAAUUAAAGAUUUAUCGGUAUAGGAUGGGCAUGCGUCCCAUUAGUUAGUUGGUAAGGUAACGGCUUACCAAGACGAUGAUGGGUAGGGGAUCUGAGAGGACUUACCCCCACACUGGUACUGAGACACGGACCAGACUCCUACGGGAGGAAGCAGUAAGGAAGAUUGGGCAAUGGCCGCGAGGCUGACCCAGCCAUGCCGAGUGCAGGAAGACGGCCUUAUGGGUAGUAAACUGCUUUUAUACGGGAAUAAUAGAGUGUACGCGUACAUUUAUGCAAGUAUCGUAUGAAUAAGCAUCGGCUAACUCCGUG
rnacentral:rRNA from 1 species